AGCGCAGGCGGUUGGAAUAGUCUGAUGUGAAAGCCCACGGCUUAACCGUGGAAGGUCAUUGGAAACUGUCCAACUUGAAUGCAGAAGAGGUAAGUGGAAUUCCAUGUGUAGCGGUGAAAUGCGUAGAUAUAUGGAGGAACACCAGUGGCGAAGGCGACUUACUGGUCUGUGAUUGACGCUGAGGCUCGAAAGCGUGGGUAGCGAACAGGAUUAGAUACCCUGGUAGUCCACGCCGUAAACGAUGAGUGCUAAGUGUUGGAGGGUUUCCGCCCUUCAGUGCUGGAGUUAACGCAUUAAGCACUCCGCCUGGGGAGUACGGCCGCAAGGCUGAAACUCAAAGGAAUUGACGGGGACCCGCACAAGCGGUGGAGCAUGUGGUUUAAUUCGACGCAACGCGAAGAACCUUACCAGCUCUUGACAUCUUCUGAUCAUCCUAGAGAUAGGACUUUCCCUUCGGGGACAGAAUGACAGGUGGUGCAUGGUUGUCGUCAGCUCGUGUCGUGAGAUGUUGGGUUAAGUCCCAUAACGAGCGCAACCCUUAUUGUUAGUUGCCAGCAUUCAGUUGGGCACUCUAGCGAGACUGCCGGUGAUAAACCGGAGGAAGGUGGGGAUGACGUCAAAUCAUCAUGCCCCUUAUGAGCUGGGCUACACACGUGCUACAAUGGACGGUACAACGAGUCGCGACCCCGCAAGGGAUAGCAAAUCUUAAUAAGCCGUUCUCAGUUCGGAUUGUUCUCUGCAACUCGAGAGCAUGAAGCCGGAAUCGCUAGUAA
rnacentral:rRNA from 1 species